UACAGAGGUCCCAAGCGUUAUCCGGAAUCAUUGGGUUUAAAGGGUCCGUAGGCGGCCCUGUAAGUCAGUGGUGAAAUCUCCCCGCUCAACGGGGAAACUGCCAUUGAUACUGCAGGGCUUGAAUUACCGGGAAGUGACUAGAAUAUGUAGUGUAGCGGUGAAAUGCUUAGAGAUUACAUGGAAUACCGAUUGCGAAGGCAGGUCACUACCGGUGGAUUGACGCUGAUGGACGAAAGCGUGGGGAGCGAACAGG
rnacentral:rRNA from 1 species